CACAUCUCAUGGACACCUGGGGCCCAUCUUAAUUGGUCCUUAUAGCACAAAGCUUCUGUCUUGGAUGUUAUAUCACUUAAGAAAAGGAAAUCUUUCAUUUCAGAAAUGGAGAGACUGGAUGUUCAUCAGAGGGCGCUUAUAUGUGGAUUGUAUUCAUUCUGGGAGAUGAGUGUUUGCUAAUACUAAAUACUGCCCUGGUUGAAGUACCAAAGUAAGAAAUCAAUCCAAGAACAUUGACACCAAGUAUGGUCAUGCCCAGGAGAACACUCAUGAGUUGGCUGAGAGUGUUUUGCUCCAUCUCAAGUUCAGCAGAUGGGCAGACAUCCUUGGUGCAUACAGAGAGCUGGGAUCAGUUUCAUAGUACUACCAGAGGAUCCCGUAAUACCUCUACUGAGUAUAUAUCCAGAAGAUGUUCCAAC
rnacentral:lncRNA from 1 species